ensembl:misc_RNA predicted gene, 27733
UUGACCCUUUCCAUUUUUCUUUCACUCACAGAGGGUGGGACAGGAGGCCGAGUGAAGGAAAGGGUCAA